rnacentral:rRNA from 1 species
GACGAACGCUGGCAGCGUGCUUAACACAUGCAAGUCGAACGGAAAGGCCCUGCUUUUGUGGGGUGCUCGAGUGGCGAACGGGUGAGUAACACGUGAGUAACCUGCCCUUGACUUUGGGAUAACUUCAGGAAACUGGGGCUAAUACCGGAUAGGAGCUCCUGCUGCAUGGUGGGGGUUGGAAAGUUUCGGCGGUUGGGGAUGGACUCGCGGCUUAUCAGCUUGUUGGUGGGGUAGUGGCUUACCAAGGCUUAGACGGGUAGCCGGCCUGAGAGGGUGACCGGCCACAUUGGGACUGAGAUACGGCCCAGACUCCUACGGGAGGCAGCAGUGGGGAAUAUUGCACAAUGGGCGGAAGCCUGAUGCAGCAACGCCGCGUGCGGGAUGACGGCCUUCGGGUUGUAAACCGCUUUCGCCUGUGACGAAGCGUGAGUGACGGUAAUGGGUAAAGAAGCACCGGCUAACUACGUG